rnacentral:tRNA from 2 species
GGGCGACUAGCUCAGGGGUAGAGCGCAUCCUUCACACGGAUGAGGCCGCUGGUUCGAAACCAGCGUCGCCCACCA